rnacentral:rRNA from 1 species
GCUAAUACAUGCAAGUCGAACGCACAGCGAAAGGUGCUUGCACCUUUCAAGUGAGUGGCGAACGGGUGAGUAACACGUGGACAACCUGCCUCAAGGCUGGGGAUAACAUUUGGAAACAGAUGCUAAUACCGAAUAAAACUUAGUGUCGCAUGACACAAAGUUAAAAGGCGCUUCGGCGUCACCUAGAGAUGGAUCCGCGGUGCAUUAGUUAGUUGGUGGGGUAAAGGCCUACCAAGACAAUGAUGCAUAGCCGAGUUGAGAGACUGAUCGGCCACAUUGGGACUGAGACACGGCCCAAACUCCUACGGGAGGCUGCAGUAGGGAAUCUUCCACAAUGGGCGAAAGCCUGAUGGAGCAACGCCGCGUGUGUGAUGAAGGCUUUCGGGUCGUAAAGCACUGUUGUAUGGGAAGAACAGCUAGAAUAGGAAAUGAUUUUAGUUUGACGGUACCAUACCAGAAAGGGACGGCUAAAUACGUGCCAGCAGCCGCGGUAAUACGUAUGUCCCGAGCGUUAUCCGGAUUUAUUGGGCGUAAAGCGAGCGCAGACGGUUUAUUAAGUCUGAUGUGAAAGCCCGGAGCUCAACUCCGGAAUGGCAUUGGAAACUGGUUAACUUGAGUGCAGUAGAGGUAAGUGGAACUCCAUGUGUAGCGGUGGAAUGCGUAGAUAUAUGGAAGAACACCAGUGGCGAAGGCGGCUUACUGGACUGCAACUGACGUUGAGGCUCGAAAGUGUGGGUAGCAAACAGGAUUAGAUACCCUGGUAGUCCACACCGUAAACGAUGAACACUAGGUGUUAGGAGGUUUCCGCCUCUUAGUGCCGAAGCUAACGCAUUAAGUGUUCCGCCUGGGGAGUACGACCGC